rnacentral:rRNA from 1 species
GAUGAACGCUGGCGGCGUGCCUAAUACAUGCAAGUCGAGCGAACAGACGAGGAGCUUGCUCCUCUGACGUUAGCGGCGGACGGGUGAGUAACACGUGGAUCACCUACCUAUCAGACUGGGAUCACUUCGGGAAACCGGCGAUAAUACCGGAUAAUCUAUUGCACCGCAUGGUUCAAUAGUGAAAGACGGCUUUGCUGUCACUUAUCGAUGGAUCCGCGCCGCAUUAGCUAGUUGGUAAGGUCACGGCUUACCAAGGCAACGAUGCGUAGCCGACCGGCGAGGGGGGUCGCCCACACUGGAACUGGGACACGCUCAAGACUCCUACGGGAGGCAGCAGUAUGGAAUCGGCCGCAAUGGUCGAAAGCCUGACGGAGCAACGCCGCGUGAGUGAUGAAGGUCUUCGGAUCGUAAAGCUCGGUUAUUAGGUAAGAACAAAUUUGUAAGUAACUAUGCACGUCUUGACGGUACCGGAUCAGAAAGCCACGGCUAACUACGUG